rnacentral:tRNA from 1 species
GCCUCUAUAGCUCAGUGGUAGAGCACUGGUCUCGUAAACCAGGGGCCGUGAGUUAAAUUCUCACUGGGGGCA